ensembl:lncRNA
GCACAUAUAUAAAGGGAAAGGUACUACUCCCCCACACAUAUAUAAAGGGAAAGGUACUACUCCCCCCACACAUAUAUAAAGGGAAAGGUACUACUACACCCCACACAGAUACAAUAGGAAAGGUACUACUCCCCCCACACAGAUAUAAAGGGAAAGGUACUACUACACCCCACACAGAUAUAAAGGGAAAGGUACUACUCCCCCCACACAGAUACAAAGGGAAAGGUACUACUACCCCCACACAUAUAUAAAGGGAAAGGUACUACUCCCCCACACAUAUAUAAAGGGAAAGGUACUACUCACCCCACACAGAUAUAAAGGGAAAGGUACUACUCCCCCACACAUAU